rnacentral:tRNA from 1 species
AAAAAGGUAAGCUAAAAUAAGCUUUUGGAUUCAUACCCCAAAUAUAAAGAAAUCUUUCCUUUUUA